rnacentral:rRNA from 1 species
AUUGAACGCUGGCGGCAUGCCUAACACAUGCAAGUCGAACGAACGCACGGGUGCUUGCACCUGGUGGCGAGUGGCGAAGGGGUGAGCAAUACAUCGGAACAUGUUAUGUAGUGGAGGCGAGUCCGGCGAAAGCAGGAUUACUACCGCCUACGAAUUUCGGAUGACAGCGGGGGCCCUUGUGGCAUCGGGCUAUAGGUUUGGUCGAUGCCUGAUUAGCUAGUUGGUGGGGUAAAGGCCUAACAAGGCGUCGACCAGUCGCUGGUCUGAGGGGACGACUAGCCACACUGGGAGUGAGACAGGGCCCAGACUCCUACGGGGGGCAGCAGUGGGGAAUUUUGCGCAAUGGGGGAAAGCCUGAUCCAGCAAAGCCGGGUGUAGGAAGAAGGCCUUCGGGUUGUAAAGCGCUGUUGUCCGGAAAGAAGUAAUGGGCUUUUAUACGGGCAGGUGAUGACGGUACCGGAAGAAUAAGCCCCGGCUAACUACGUG